GCCGGCCCCGCACCGGGGCCCCGCACACCUUUGUGAGACCCCCGCCAGCAAAAGCGGCUGUUUAGCAAAACAAAAGGACUCCCGUAAUCUACUUAUUGUGCCUCAUUAGGAUUGCGGGCGCCCUCUUCUAAUGGGAAAGUUAUAGGAUCAAGCCGGCGGCGCGCUGCGGGGUUGCCGCGCCGGUAAUAAAGACAUUUUUUUCCCCGUUCAUGUCCAAGCAUGACAAGACACAGCGGCUCGCUCCCGAGAAGCCACUUGACAUCUUCAUUGUUCUACCUUCGCCGCUCAACACUUUUUUCCACCGUUUCUUGGGGUUUGGUGGAAGUCCAGGAUAAUUUCAUCAGCCCAGUGGAGCUGUACCCAGAGAGGCCAUGCCAUUUUAUGGCUGCAGUUCCUGCCUGUGCAAAUCACUGUGAUUCAUGCUGUGCCUUGGAAAUGCAGUGGACGUGCUGAAGGCCACUGAAGCCACGUCAUCCCAGAAAAAACCCCAAAUGGCCUCUGCAUUGGUCACUCACUCUUUCUAGUGGUGGCUCUGAGCACAGUGCAGGAAGGACAGAGAAGGGUUGAUUCCCCUCCACCACGCUGAGCUCCUGAAACCCCAGGCAAAGCUGAUUUCUCGGGAAGCGGAGGUGAAGAAAAGUUAAUUUACCUGCUCAGAAAUGCUGCUUUGUUCUCUAACAAUGGUCCCCAGCCCUUGAGAAACAUGACAGCACUCUGAAGAGGAUGGGGAGCUGUCUUACUGUAAGUUGGGGUUUACCUAGUCCAGGGUCUCACACUUCAAAUGCUGUUUUGGGGGUUCAUUGAGGCUCUUCCCUGCAGCCAGGUGGCAAAGGGGUCUUUCAUGAGAGGAGUCAAAUAGAGGAUGCAUCAGGAAAGGGCACAGCAAUUCAUGCAGUGACAGCAGCAAUUCACUUCCCUGCUGCCCUUGCAGCUAGGGAAAAUUGCAUCCAAGCUGGCUUCCCCUUGGAGAAGCAGUGGCUUGCCUUGGUGCUGUGGGAAUGGCAGAGAGGAAUGAGCUCAAAGUAGUGGGCUGGGCAGGAUGAGAGGAAAGAGAUCUCUCUGAAGAAGACUGGGACAUGGAGAUAAAAAGGGAAGAGGUGUUCUUUCCAGGACAAGGGGGCUGUGAAUUGUCAUCAAGUUGGGAAGACCUGACUCAGCUCUGCCCAGAAACCUCUCUGCACGAGCUCCCCUCAUGCCAGUGCUCCACAGUGGAUU